rnacentral:rRNA from 1 species
ACGCCUAAUACAUGCAAGUCGAACGAAGUAGCAAUACUUAGUGGCAGACGGGUGAGUAACAUGUAGGUAUCUACCCUUUGGCCUGGAAUAACACGAGGAAACUUGUGCUAAUACCGGAUAAGUCUUUACGGAGAAAGCUUUAUGCACCAUUGGAUGAGCCUGCACUUGAUUAGUUUGUUGGUGGGGUAAUGGCCUACCAAGACAAUGAUCAAUAGCUGAUUUGAGAGGAUGAUCAGCCACAUUGGGACUGAGACACGGCCCAAACUCCUACGGGAGGCAGCAGUAGGGAAUCUUGCACAAUGGAGGAAACUCUGAUGCAGCGAUGCCGCGUGAGUGAAGAAGGCCUUUGGGUUGUAAAGCUCUUUCGUCGGGGAAGAAAAUGACUGUACCCGAAUAAGAAGGUCCGGCUAACUUCGUGCCAGCAGCCGCGGUAAUACGAAGGGACCUAGCGUAGUUCGGAAUUACUGGGCUUAAAGAGUUCGUAGGUGGUUAAAAAAGUUGGUGGUGAAAUCCCAGAGCUUAACUCUGGAACUGCCAUCAAAACUUUUUAGCUAGAGUAUGAUAGAGGAAAGCAGAAUUUCUAGUGUAGAGGUGAAAUUCGUAGAUAUUAGAAAGAAUACCGAUUGCGAAGGCAGCUUUCUGGAUCAUUACUGACACUGAGGAACGAAAGCAUGGGUAGCGAAGAGGAUUAGAUACCCUCGUAGUCCAUGCCGUAAACGAUGUGUGUUAGACGUUGGAAAUUUAUUUUCAGUGUCGCAGCGAAAGCGAUAAACACACCGCCUGGGGAGUACGACCG